AACGAACGCUGGCGGCAUGCCUAACACAUGCAAGUCGAACGAGACCUUCGGGUCUAGUGGCGCACGGGUGCGUAACGCGUGGGAACCUGCCUUUAGGUUCGGAAUAACUCAGAGAAAUUUGAGCUAAUACCGGAUAAUGUCUUCGGACCAAAGAUUUAUCGCCUUUAGAUGGGCCCGCGUUGGAUUAGCUAGUUGGUGGGGUAAAGGCCUACCAAGGCGACGAUCCAUAGCUGGUCUGAGAGGAUGAUCAGCCACACUGGGACUGAGACACGGCCCAGACUCCUACGGGAGGCAGCAGUGGGGAAUAUUGGACAAUGGGCGAAAGCCUGAUCCAGCAAUGCCGCGUGAGUGAUGAAGGCCUCGGUGUAAGACGUCUUUUACUCGGGUACGAUAAUGACGGUACCGAGAGAAUAAGACCCCGGCCUAAC
rnacentral:rRNA from 1 species